rnacentral:rRNA from 1 species
AUACAUGCAAGUCGAGCGGACAGAUGGGAGCUUGCUCCCUGAUGUUAGCGGCGGACGGGUGAGUAACACGUGGGUAACCUGCCUGUAAGACUGGGAUAACUCCGGGAAACCGGGGCUAAUACCGGAUGGUUGUUUGAACCGCAUGGUUCAAACAUAAAAGGUGGCUUCGGCUACCACUUACAGAUGGACCCGCGGCGCAUUAGCUAGUUGGUGAGGUAACGGCUCACCAAGGCAACGAUGCGUAGCCGACCUGAGAGGGUGAUCGGCCACACUGGGACUGAGACACGGCCCAGACUCCUACGGGAGGCAGCAGUAGGGAAUCUUCCGCAAUGGACGAAAGUCUGACGGAGCAACGCCGCGUGAGUGAUGAAGGUUUUCGGAUCGUAAAGCUCUGUUGUUAGGGAAGAACAAGUACCGUUCGAAUAGGGCGGUACCUUGACGGUACCUAACCAGAAAGCCACGGCUAACUACGUGCCAGCAGCCGCGGUAAUACGUAGGUGGCAAGCGUUGUCCGGAAUUAUUGGGCGUAAAGGGCUCGCAGGCGGUUUCUUAAGUCUGAUGUGAAAGCCCCCGGCUCAACCGGGGAGGGUCAUUGGAAACUGGGGAACUUGAGUGCAGAAGAGGAGAGUGGAAUUCCACGUGUAGCGGUGAAAUGCGUAGAGAUGUGGAGGAACACCAGUGGCGAAGGCGACUCUCUGGUCUGUAACUGACGCUGAGGAGCGAAAGCGUGGGGAGCGAACAGGAUUAGAUACCCUGGUAGUCCACGCCGUAAACGAUGAGUGCUAAGUGUUAGGGGGGUUUCCGCCCCCUUUAGUGCUGCAGCUAACGCAUUAAGCACCUCCGCCUGGGGAGUACGGUCGCAAGACUGAACUUCAAAGGAAAUGACGGGGGCCCGCACAAGCGGUGGAGCAUUGUGGUUAUUCGAGCAACGCGAGACCUUACCAGGUCUUGACAUCCUCUGACAUCCUAGAGAAUAGGACGUUCCCCUCCGG